rnacentral:rRNA from 1 species
AAAACUUUCAACAACGGAUCUCUUGGUUCUGGCAUCGAUGAAGAACGCAGCGAAAUGCGAUAAGUAAUGUGAAUUGCAGAAUUCAGUGAAUCAUCGAAUCUUUGAACGCACAUUGCGCCCCUCGGUACCCCGGGGGGCAUGCCUGUUCGAG